rnacentral:rRNA from 1 species
UUGAACGCUGGCGGCAGGCCUAACACAUGCAAGUCGAACGGUAACAGGAAGCAGCUUGCUGCUUCGCUGACGAGUGGCGGACGGGUGAGUAAUGUCUGGGAAACUGCCUGAUGGAGGGGGAUAACUACUGGAAACGGUGGCUAAUACCGCAUAACGUCGCAAGACCAAAGAGGGGGACCUUCGGGCCUCUUGCCAUCAGAUGUGCCCAGAUGGGAUUAGCUWGUUGGUGAGGUAACGGCUCACCAAGGCGACGAUCCCUAGCUGGUCUGAGAGGAUGACCAGCCACACUGGAACUGAGACACGGUCCAGACUCCUACGGGAGGCAGCAGUGGGGAAUAUUGCACAAUGGGCGCAAGCCUGAUGCAGCCAUGCCGCGUGUAUGAAGAAGGCCUUCGGGUUGUAAAGUACUUUCAGCGGGGAGGAAGGUGUUGYGGUUAAUAACCGCAGCAAUUGACGUUACCCGCAGAAGAAGCACCGGCUAACUCCGU